rnacentral:rRNA from 1 species
UACGGAGGACGCGAGCGUUACCCGGAUUUACUGGGCGUAAAGAGCGUGUGGGCGGCCGGGGGCCUCCAAUGUGAAAAGCCACGGCUCAACCGAGGAGGAGCGUGGGAUACGCUCAGGCUAGACGGUGGGAGAGGGUGGUGGAAUUACCGGAGUAGCGGUGAAAUGCGCCGAUACCGGGAGGAACGCCGAUGGCGAAGGAAGCCACCUGGCCCACAUGUGCCGCUGAGGCGCGAAAGCCUGGGGAGCAGACCGG